rnacentral:misc_RNA from 1 species
GUGAUAAUGGAACCAGAAAACCGCUACUAUUUCUUUCUUCAUUUUCAACAACGCCUCUUUCUUCUCUCUAUAACUAUAAUCAUCAACUGGUUUUAAAAGAUGGCAGAUGCAGAAGAUAUUCAACCCCUUGUCUGUGAUAAUGGAACUGGAAUGGUCAAGGCUGGAUUUGCUGGUGAUGAUGCACCAAGGGCUGUUUUUCCUAGUAUUGUUGGUCGACCUAGACACACCGGUGUUAUGGUAGGGAUGGGUCAAAAGGAUGCAUAUGUUGGUGAUGAAGCUCAGUCAAAAAGGGGUAUUCUCACCUUAAAGUAUCCCAUUGAGCAUGGAAUAGUAAGCAACUGGGAUGAUAUGGAGAAGAUUUGGCAUCAUACCUUUUACAAUGAAUUGCGUGUUUCUCCUGAUGAGCACCCUGUGCUACUUACAGAAGCACCCUUGAACCCCAAGGCCAAUAGAGAGAAAAUGACACAGAUAAUGUUUGAGACAUUCAAUGUCCCAGCCAUGUAUGUUGCUAUUCAGGCGGUUUUGUCUCUAUACGCCAGUGGCCGUACAACAGGUAUUGUCCUGGAUUCUGGUGAUGGUGUCAGUCAUACAGUGCCAAUUUAUGAAGGUUAUGCCCUUCCUCACGCAAUUCUUCGAUUGGAUCUAGCCGGGCGUGAUCUUACUGACUGUCUGAUGAAAAUCCUGACUGAAAGAGGUUAUUCAUUCACCACUAGUGCUGAACGGGAAAUUGUGCGCGACAUGAAAGAGAAACUAGCAUAUGUUGCACUUGAC